UACGAAGGGGGCUAGCGUUGCUCGGAAUCACUGGGCGUAAAGCGCACGUAGGCGGCUUCUUAAGUCAGGGGUGAAAUCCUGGAGCUCAACUCCAGAACUGCCUUUGAUACUGAGAAGCUUGAGUCCGGGAGAGGUGAGUGGAACUGCGAGUGUAGAGGUGAAAUUCGUAGAUAUUCGCAAGAACACCAGUGGCGAAGGCGGCUCACUGGCCCGGUACUGACGCUGAGGUGCGAAAGCGUGGGGAUCAAACAGG
rnacentral:rRNA from 1 species